rnacentral:rRNA from 1 species
AGUGAACGCUGGCGGCAGGCCUAACACAUGCAAGUCGAACGGCAGCACAGGAGAGCUUGCUCUCUGGGUGGCGAGUGGCGGACGGGUGAGGAAUACAUCGGAAUCUACCUUGUCGUGGGGGAUAACGUAGGGAAACUUACGCUAAUACCGCAUACGACCUACGGGUGAAAGCAGGGGACCUUCGGGCCUUGCGCGAUUAGAUGAGCCGAUGUCCGAUUAGCUAGUUGGCGGGGUAAAGGCCCACCAAGGCGACGAUCGGUAGCUGGUCUGAGAGGAUGAUCAGCCACACUGGAACUGAGACACGGUCCAGACUCCUACGGGAGGCAGCAGUGGGGAAUAUUGGACAAUGGGCGCAAGCCUGAUCCAGCCAUGCCGCGUGGGUGAAGAAGGCCUUCGGGUUGUAAAGCCCUUUUGUUGGGAAAGAAAAGCAAUCGGUUAAUACCCGGUUGUUCUGACGGUACCCAAAGAAUAAGCACCGGCUAACUUCGUGCCAGCAGCCGCGGUAA